UCAAGCGAACAAGGGCGCAGGGCGAAUGCCUUGGCACUGGGAGCCGAUGAAAGACGUGAUAAGCUGCGAUAAGCUUCGGGGAGCUGCAAAUAAGCAUUGAUCCGGAGAUUUCUGAAUGAGGAAACUCACCUGGGUUCAUACUCAGGUACAAUACACUGAAAUUUAAAAUAGGUGUAUUGAGGGAACCGCCUGAACUGAAACAUCUAAGUAGGGCGAGGAAGAGACAUCAAACGAGAUUCCGUAAGUAGUGGCGAGCGAACGCGGAAGAGGGCAAACCGAGAGUAGAAAUACUUUCGGGGUACGGACUGCUUUUAGGACUUAAUCUGUUAACCGAACGGCAUGGGAAGGCCGGUCAGAGAGUGUGAGAACCACGUAGGUGAAAACGGAGAGAGCUGCGCAGGAUCCAGAGUACGGCCAGACACGUGAAACCUGGUCGGAAUACGGGGGGACCACCCUCCAACCCUAAAUACUACCCAGUGACCGAUAGCGUAUAGUACUGUGAAGGAAAGGUGAAAAGCACCCCGGGAGGGGAGUGAAAUAGAACCUGAAACCCUGUGCCUACAAGCACCUAGAGCACGUCAAUGUGUGAUAGGGUACUUUUUGUAGAACGGUCCGGCGAGCGAUUGUAUGCAGCAAGGUUAAGGACUUAAGGUCUGGAGCCGAAGCGAAAGCGAGUUUGAAAAGGGCGUUAAGUUGCAUAUAAUGGGCCCGAAACCGGGUGACCUACCCAUGGUCAGGUUGAAGUGGAAGUAAAAUUCCAUGGAGGACCGAACCGACCUCCGUUGAAAAGGCGGCGGAUGAACUGUGGGUAGCGGAGAAAUUCCAAUCGAACCCGGAGAUAGCUGGUUCUCCCCGAAAUAGUUUUAGGACUAGCCUCAAGUUAGAUACCUGGAGGUAAAGCACUGAAUAGCCUAGCGGCCGAGAGGUUAGCGAAGCUUAUCAAACUCAGAAUGCCAGAGUAUUGAUGCUUGGGAGUCAGACAGUGUCAGAUAAAUGUCAUUGUCAAAAGGGAAACAGCCCAGAUCUACAGCUAAGGUCCCAAAGUCAGGUUAAGUGGAAAACGAUGUGAAGAUACGCAGACAACCAGGAUGUUGGCUCAGAAGCAGCCACUCAUUCAAAGAGUGCGUAAUAGCUCACUGGUCGAGCGUCUUUGCGCGGAGAAUUUAACGGGGCUAAACCUGACACCGAAGCUUAGGCAAUACAGCAAUGUAUUGGGUAGGGGAGCGUUGUAUACGCGGAGAAACAGUAGCGCAAGCGGCUGUGGAGUGUAUAGAAGUGAGAAUGCCGGAAUGAGUAGCGCGAAUGCAGUGAGAAUCUGCAUGGCCGAAAGCCUCAGGUUUCUGGAGGAAGGUUCGUCCGCUCCAGGUUAGUCGGGAGCUAAGGUGAGGCCGAAAGGCGUAGCCGAUGCACAGACGGUAGAGAUUCCGUCACCACCAAAAGAGUUAAGCACAGGGACACAUUUGAAGUCUCAGAGCCGGGUGUUGGUUCCGGUAGAGAUCGAGGGAAGUUAGUACCGAAGUCUGAGAUGGAAGAUGGCGAGAAAAGCUGUGUGUAUUUCUGAGGUGCCCGUACCGCAAACCGACACAGGUAGGUAGGAAGAAGAUUCUAAGGCCAACGGGAGAAGGGUUGUUAAGGAACUCGGCAAAUUGACCCCGUAACUUCGGGAGAAGGGGUGCUCCAGAGAUGGAGCCGCAGAGAAUCGGCCCAAGCAACUGUUUACCAAAAACACAGGUUUGUGCUAAAUCGAAAGAUGACGUAUACGAGCUGACGCCUGCCCGGUGCUGGAAGGUUAAAAGGAGAUGUGCAAGCAUUGAAUUGAAGCCCCAGUGAACGGCGGCCGUAACUAUAACGGUCCUAAGGUAGCGAAAUUCCUUGUCAGGUAAGUUCUGACCCGCAUGAAAGGCGUAAUGAUUUGGGCACUGUCUCAACAGCCCGCCCGGCGAAAUUGUAGUACCGGUGAAGAUGCCGGUUACCCGCGACAA
rnacentral:rRNA from 1 species